UGUUGCUGGCAGCUAGCUCUCUGCAACUCUCACAUGGUUGCCCACUGAAGCUAAGCAGGAUUGCACUCGGUCAGCACCUGGAUGGGAGACCACCUGGGAAAGCUAGAUUGGUGAGAC
rnacentral:rRNA from 1 species